UGCUUAUUUUGGUAAGAAGAUAUUAACAAAAGUUGUUCGUCUUGACGAGGGCUACAACUUUGCUUAAUAUCGUCUUACCAAAUUAUGCUUAUUUAAAGGAGAUAGGUCUGCGCAUGCGCAGUACGUAACUCCUUACGCUUGCAUAUUUUGGUAAGAAGAUAUUAACAAAAGUUGUUCGUCUUGAUGAGGGCUACAACUUUGCUUAAUAUCGUCUUACCAAAUUAUGCU
rnacentral:miRNA from 1 species